rnacentral:lncRNA from 1 species
CUGGUACCUUUUGUAAGCUAUAAUUGGAGUGUUUCUCUGUCCUAUAUGUUCUAUCAUUUAUUUGUAUUGUAGUCUUGUCAAGUAAUGUUGCCUUUGACUGAUAUAUUUACCAUUGCCGUAGAAGAGGGAGGUUUGGCAUGCAAAAAAACGGGUUCAUCUUACCAUUUUUUUCUUAAAAUCUCCUGUGCCAAGUCCGGAAAAUGGCCAUUGUUAAAUUGUGAUUCGCUUCUGUGUGUGUUAAAGUUUAAUUUUGUGUUGCUGACAUUGUGUCGUAGUUUUCCUCUUAUAUUUGAUGUGUUUCCCUCAGUUUUAGUUUGUAGUCUGAAUUUGUUUUUUCUCAAUCAACUUAUGAAUUUCGACAACGGUUUACUACUGUUGCUUUUAUUGGAGACAUAUUUGCAAUUUAUUGGUAAGACUGUUUAUUCAUAUACAGAAAACUUUGUGAUGUAUUGUAUAAAUCAAAAUAUUCAAC